UACAGAGGGUGCAAGCGUUGUUCGGAAUUACUGGGCGUAAAGCGCGUGUAGGUGGCCAUGUAAGUCGGAUGUGAAAUCCCUCGGCUUAACCGAGGAAGUGCAUCCGAUACUGCGUGGCUUGAGUAUCGGAGGGGGUGGCGGAAUUCCCGGUGUAGAGGUGAAAUUCGUAGAUAUCGGGAGGAACACCUGUGGCGAAGGCGGCCACCUGGACGAUUACUGACACUGAGACGCGAAAGCGUGGGUAGCAAACAGG
rnacentral:rRNA from 1 species